GCACUGCCGAGCUGCUCUUGGAAGCACUUAGGAGAGACGGGGGGUUCUUUCUGUGUCAAGGGAUUUCUUUGGAGCACGUCACAGGCUCGGAUAGGGAGCUAAGUGGAUAAAGAAAGGAGGAUCGGACUCCCGAAACAACGAGCAACAAAGGAGCAUCUUUACAUACAUCUGUGCAAGGGUGCCAACUUGAAUAAAAGUUUUGGAGGGCCAGGUCCUGAUCAUCUAAAAGCGAUGCAAAGGGGCUCCCAGAAAAUGCCUACAGCUGACUGAAUGAUCCAUUCCCUAUUUCCAAGCAACUUAUCUCUGCAACCAGUAAUGAAAUUAAAGUGAGUAGGGCCCCAAUAUAUGUAUUAUUGGAUGUGCCACAAAGUUUCAUAGAGUUACAGCCCUGCUAAGAAAUCAGCUUAUCCUUCUCCAACCCAUCUUUCUAAAUAACUACUGCUGGAAUUGACAAAUCCUGCCCUGGAUUUUAAUGCCUAGGCAAAACUGACAAUUGAAGAAGCAAAGACAUGGGAUUUGAUCCACAAAUACCAUGGAGCUCCCCCAGAUCUCCCUCCUAUACUUUAGUAUUUGUACUCUCCUACUAAGUGACUGAGGAAAAGGUCUUUCAUUCUCCACCUCACUUUUUGAAAAUUAAUGCCAUGGAGCAAGAAAAUGACCAAACCUGUGUUUGUAUCUGAGUGCUCACAUGCAAUUUUUGAAGUAUGCGAACCUGCAUUUGGGAGACUUACAAGAUAUGCACACUUUCCUCCCCCUUCUGCUUUCAUGUGCACUAUUGUGGCUUCCCCACAUGCAAUUCCAUAGCUUAAGAUGGCAUCUAUCAACAUAUUUUAGCUGCAAGAAGGAAAGAGAACCUCCAUGUUCAGAGGCAAUUAUACCUCUGAAUACUAAACACCGGGUGGGGGGGGAUAUUGAAGGUUCCAUGCAAGGUGAGAAAGACAGAAAGAGCAAAACAGGAGAUACACACAAAGAACCCGACAGACUGCAAAACGAGAGACAUGUUCUCUAAAGCGACAGAUACUAGGAUUGCACAAACACCAGCGGUCUGUCUGGUCCUCCCCAUGGUGCCAGAUAGACUGCUAGCGUCUGUUGCAAUCUGCUUCAGCUGUUUCAUAGUAAUCAAAGAGCUCUCCUGGAGAACGAGUCCAGGGUUCUGAAAUGCAUUGAACUGUAAUAAACUGAUGUGUUUGGUGCUUUUGAGAACAAGUUUCUCUUUUUGCAUUCUUUCUGUUACUUCCAUGCAGUGCGUACAGCCUUCCCAGAAUCAUGUGGUACUUAUUGAUAUUUUCUUGUGAACAUUUUGUAUUGCUUUAUUGCAAAUCGCUUAAGAGGUUUUUCUGAUUAAGCAGUACACAAAUCUUGUAAUUUUUUUUAAAAAUGUGACUGGCUGGAAAUAUUAUGCUGGAAUGGACGACAAGUUGAUCCAGCAGGAUUCUUCUUAGACAUGCAAUGGAGAAAGCAGCGCACAGCAGCUUUGGCCAUGGACUAGUAUAAUCAGUCAAGUCCUUUAUCACCCAUUGCUGUGAUUUGUUGGGUCUUGAAGUUAGUUCAUAUGAACACUUUGCUCUGUGGUAUGUUGGUUAUUUUUUCUAUUGUGAAUUACCUUUUGCUUUCAUUCGACCUAGCAUAAAUUGGUGCAUGUUGCAGUUGGGUGUGUGCUUUUGCAAACGUAGUGAAUUGCAUAACAGCAGUCCUAAUACGGGUGAAUUGAUCAUGUGUUUUCCCCCCUUUGCUCACUGGUGUAAUUCCAUUCAUGUUUGAGAGUUUGGUUGUUCAUGGGGUAUUAGGGUGGCUUGGGGGCAAAUAGCAAAUUCUGGUUUAUAUACACAAUCUAUGGGCAGGCUAGCAUUUUCCAAUUUAGUGCCAUCCAGAUGUUUUGGACUACAACUCCCAUUGACCCCAACCAGUAUGGUUGUGCUGCCUGGAGUUGAUGGCAGUUGUAGUCCAAAAACAUCUGGAGGACACCAGGGUUGAUAAAGGCUGUGUCGGGACCUCCUGUAAUAUGCCUCUAUUCAUACCAAGCUACAGAAGUAGGGACAGGAUUUAACACAGAAAUUGCAUUCCCUUUUCUCUCAAUCCCAUCACAAAAAGGUGGAAAUGAUAUCUCUGUAUAAAGAAAGACAAAAAAUGACGAGGAAAGAAACAGAAGCAUAACAGUGCAAUCCUAGAAAAAAGUCCUAUUGAUCGCAAACAGAUUUUAGCGUAAACAUGCCAGAGUGCACUGUGAGGCUUUGAUCUUAUCUUACUGUACAGUGGUACCUCGGGUUACUUACACUUCAGGUUACAUACGCUUCA